UACACUCCUACGGGAGGCAGCAGUGGGGAAUAUUGCACAAUGGGCGCAAGCCUGAUGCAGCGACGCCGCGUGGGGGAUGAAGGCCUUCGGGUUGUAAACUCCUUUCGCUAGGGACGAAGCUUUUUUGUGACGGUACCUAGAUAAGAAGCACCGGCUAACUACGUGCCAGCAGCCGCGGUAAUACGUAGGGUGCGAGCGUUGUCCGGAAUUACUGGGCGUAAAGGGCUCGUAGGUGGUUUGUCGCGUCGUCUGUGAAAUUCUGGGGCUUAACUCCGGGCGUGCAGGCGAUACGGGCAUAACUUGAGUGCUGUAGGGGUAACUGGAAUUCCUGGUGUAGCGGUGAAAUGCGCAGAUAUCAGGAGGAACACCGAUGGCGAAGGCAGGUUACUGGGCAGUUACUGACGCUGAGGAGCGAAAGCAUGGGUAGCGAACAGGAUUAGAAACCCUUGUAGUCCCA
rnacentral:rRNA from 1 species